GCAAGUCGAACGGUAACGCGGGGCAACCUGGCGACGAGUGGCGAACGGGUGAGUAAUAUAUCGGAACGUGCCCAAUAGUGGGGGAUAGCCCGGCGAAAGCCGGAUUAAUACCGCAUGAGACCUGAGGGUGAAAGCGGGGGAUUCGCAAGAACCUCGCGCUAUUGGAGCGGCCGAUAUCAGAUUAGGUAGUUGGUGGGGUAAAAGCCUACCAAGCCGACGAUCUGUAGCUGGUCUGAGAGGACGACCAGCCGCACUGGGACUGAGACACGGCCCAGACUCCUACGGGAGGCAGCAGUGGGGAAUUUUGGACAAUGGGCGCAAGCCUGAUCCAGCCAUGCCGCGUGCGGGAAGAAGGCCUUCGGGUUGUAAACCGCUUUUGUCAAAGAAAAAAUCCUUUGAGUUAACACCUCGGAGGGAUGACGGUACCUGAAGAAUAAGCACCGGCUAACUACGUGCCAGCAGCCGCGGUAAUACGUAGGGUGCGAGCGUUAAUCGGAAUUACUGGGCGUAAAGCGUGCGCAGGCGGUCUUGCAAGACAGGUGUGAAAUCCCCGGGCUUAACCUGGGAACUGCAUCCGUGACUGCAAGGCUGGAGUACGGCAGAGGGGGAUGGAAUUCCGCGUGUAGCAGUGAAAUGCGUAGAUAUGCGGAGGAACACCGAUGGCGAAGGCAAUCCCCUGGGGCCUGUACUGACGCUCAUGCACGAAAGCGUGGGGAGCAA
rnacentral:rRNA from 1 species